AUUUAGAGGAAGUAAAAGUCGUAACAAGGUCUCCGUAGGUGAACCUGCGGAGGGAUCAUUACAAGUGACCCCGGUCUAACCGCCGGGAUGUUCAUAACCCUUUGUUGUCCGACUCUGUUGCCUCCGGGGCGACCCUGCCUUCGGGCGGGGGCUCCGGGUGGACACUUCAAACUCUUGCGUAACUUUGCAGUCUGAGUAAACUUAAUUAAUAAAUUAAAACUUUUAACAACGGAUCUCUUGGUUCUGGCAUCGAUGAAGAACGCAGCGAAAUGCGAUAAGUAAUGUGAAUUGCAGAAUUCAGUGAAUCAUCGAAUCUUUGAACGCACAUUGCGCCCCCUGGUAUUCCGGGUGGCAUGCCUGUUCGAGCGUCAUUUCACCACUCAAGCCUCGCUUGGUAUUGGGCAUCGCGGUCCGCCGCGUGCCUCAAAUCGACCGGCUGGGUCUUCUGUCCCCUAAGCGUUGUGGAAACUAUUCGCUAAAGGGUGUUCGGGAGGCUACGCCGUAAAACAACCCCGUUUCUAAGGUUGACCUCGGAUCAGGUAGGGCUACCCGCUGAACUUAAGCAUAUCAAUAAG
rnacentral:rRNA from 1 species